CCGUGGGGGCGUGCUAUAAUGCAAGUCGAGCGGACAGAAGGGAGCUUGCUCCCGGAUGUUAGCGGCGGACGGGUGAGUAACACGUGGGUAACCUGCCUGUAAGACUGGGAUAACUCCGGGAAACCGGAGCUAAUACCGGAUAGUUCCUUGAACCGCAUGGUUCAAGGAUGAAAGACGGUUUCGGCUGUCACUUACAGAUGGACCCGCGGCGCAUUAGCUAGUUGGUGAGGUAACGGCUCACCAAGGCGACGAUGCGUAGCCGACCUGAGAGGGUGAUCGGCCACACUGGGACUGAGACACGGCCCAGACUCCUACGGGAGGCAGCAGUAGGGAAUCUUCCGCAAUGGACGAAAGUCUGACGGAGCAACGCCGCGUGAGUGAUGAAGGUUUUCGGAUCGUAAAGCUCUGUUGUUAGGGAAGAACAAGUGCAAGAGUAACUGCUUGCACCUUGACGGUACCUAACCAGAAAGCCACGGCUAACUACGUGCCAGCAGCCGCGGUAAUACGUAGGUGGCAAGCGUUGUCCGGAAUUAUUGGGCGUAAAGGGCUCGCAGGCGGUUUCUUAAGUCUGAUGUGAAAGCCCCCGGCUCAACCGGGGAGGGUCAUUGGAAACUGGGAAACUUGAGUGCAGAAGAGGAGAGUGGAAUUCCACGUGUAGCGGUGAAAUGCGUAGAGAUGUGGAGGAACACCAGUGGCGAAGGCGACUCUCUGGUCUGUAACUGACGCUGAGGAGCGAAAGCGUGGGGAGCGAACAGGAUUAGAUACCCUGGUAGUCCACGCCGUAAACGAUGAGUGCUAAGUGUUAGGGGGUUUCCGCCCCUUAGUGCUGCAGCUAACGCAUUAAGCACUCCGCCUGGGGAGUACGGUCGCAAGACUGAAACUCAAAGGAAUUGACGGGGGCCCGCACAAGCGGUGGAGCAUGUGGUUUAAUUCGAAGCAACGCGAGAACCUUACCAGUCUUGACAUCCUCUGACAACCCUAGAGAUAGGGCUUUCCCUUUCGGGACAGAGUGACAGAUGUGCAUGAUGUCGUCAGCUCGUGUCGUGAGAUGGUGGGUAGUCCCGCAACGAGCGCAAACCCUUGAUCUAGUUGCCAGCAAUUC
rnacentral:rRNA from 1 species